GGGUGCCUGUACCUCUCCAGUCCAGCUGAGCAAGGAGGCUCAGGAAUUAAUGAGGAUGGGGCUUGUGUAGCACGAUGGUUCUAGGCCAUCCCUCUUCCGUGGCUGAAGUCCAUUGAAGGCAGCCUCCAAGAUCAGGGGGUUGCCUGAUCCUCUUAGUGCCACAAUCCCAGUCCUAGCUAGAACUUGCCAUAGUUCUUCUCCCUAAAAGUUCCCAGGGGACAGGAGAUAGGUGUUGCUUUUCUAAUGGAGUGGGACCUCACAUGGACGGGGCCCUCCGAGCCUGCUAACACCCUCUUCGCACUGACUCAGCCCUGGAAGAGAGGCCGGCAGUGAUGACCUCGCCCCUGUACCUGGAGAUCAUCAUCUAUUGCACAGGGGCCUUCCUCAUCUCCUGCAUGGUGGGGUCGGUCAUCGUCUACAAGAUGAAGAGUGGUACCAAGAAGAGCGACUUCCACAGCCAGAUGGCUGUGCACAAGCUGGCCAAGAGCAUCCCUCUGCGCAGACAGGUAACAGUGUCUGCUGACUCCAGUGCAUCCAUGAACUCUGGAGUUCUUCUGGUUCGGCCGUCACGGCUCUCCUCCAGUGGGACUCCCAUGCUAGCAGGGGUCUCUGAGUAUGAGCUUCCCGAAGACCCUCGCUGGGAGCUGCCUCGGGACAGACUGGUCUUAGGCAAACCCCUGGGAGAGGGCUGCUUUGGGCAGGUGGUGUUGGCAGAGGCUGUCGGGCUGGACAAGGACAAACCCAACCGUGUGACCAAAGUGGCUGUGAAGAUGUUGAAGUCGGACGCAAC
rnacentral:sRNA from 1 species